rnacentral:rRNA from 1 species
AUGCCUCCCACCAUGCUCGCGCCGGUGCCCACGAGGCCGCGCUCCCACCCCUUCCGCCGUCGGAGGGACGCGGCUGCUCCGCUCCCAGCCCAGAUCGCGGCGGCGAUGGCGGGGAAGCGGCCAGCGGAGUCGUCCACAUCGGCCUCCUCCUCCUUCCGCAGCGAGGUCGUCUCCACCACCACCGCCACCUCCUCCGCCGCCCUCGCCGCGGCGCAGCAGCGCCCGGAGAAGAGGCCCCGGCGCCAGGACUCGGGCGAGGCCCGGCCCGCCGCCUCCGAGUGCUCGGAGGUCAUCGGCGGCGCCACGGCGCGCCCCGCGGAGGUCGAGGCCUCCGAGUCAUCCUGCCUCCGCUCCAUCCUCCACCCCGACCUCGCCUGCCCCGAGCUGCUCGCCGACGAUGCCGAUGCGACGGAGUACUCUUCGGCCUGCGACGAGCUCACGCAGUCCGACGCGGAGGAGGAGGUACUCAGUGCUCCCAGCCCCUGCACCGACUACUCCCUCAGCCCCCUGCUCGACACCUCCUCUUCCUCCUCCUCCGAGGACGACGACGACGAGGACGGCGCCCCCCCUUCCUACACCUUCUCCCUCUUCCUCGACUACGCCAAGCAGUUCGUCCCCUGUGUGCAGCACAAGGCGCACGCCGUCGCCGACGCCGUCCCCAUCCCAGAGUGGAAGCAGUUCGAUGACUUGGAGGACGAGGAGAGCUACGAGCAGUUCCGGCGGCGCGAACGGCGGGGAGUGGUGGCGUGCGACUACACAGAGGUGUACGCCUCCAUGCCGGGCAACUGUGGCCGUCACGUCGUGGAGCAGCGUUCUGUCAUGGUGAACUGGAUCAUCGAGCAUGGGCAUGUGGCAGAGCUGCAGCCAGAGACAUUGUUCCUGGGAAUUGGACUGAUGGACCGCUUCUUGACACGUGGAUACCUAAAGGGCUCUAGGAAUGUGCAGUUGCUGGGCAUUGCCUGCAUCACCCUAGCCACCCGCAUUGAAGAGAACCAGCCAUACAAUAGCAUCAUGCAGAAGUCUUUCAUGGUAGGGAUCAACCUUUACAGCCGGAGCGAGGUCGUCGCCAUGGAGUGGCUGGUUCAGGAGGUCCUCGACUUUCAAUGCUUCGUCACAACAGUCCACAAUUUUCUCUGGUUCUAUCUGAAGGCAGCAAAAGCAGACGACAAAGUGGAGGAUCUGGCCAAGCACCUGGCCCUGCUCACACUUCUGGACCAUAAGCACCUCUCCUACUGGCCCUCGACCGUGGCAGCCUCGGUGGUGGCCCUUGCCUGCCUUGCCACUGACAAGGAGUCCUCGUGCCAUCGGGUAAUGGAGACUCACUCGAGGACGAAGGACGACGAUCUGCCCGAAUGUUUAAUGAGUCUGGAGUGGCUGAUAAACUAUGCUUCGUAG